rnacentral:misc_RNA from 1 species
CGAGAGUUUCACCACUCCCAACCCACUGUUGACCUACCCCACCUGUGCUUCGGCAGGCAGUCCUUGGACAGGCCUCGCCCCGCGUAACGGGGGUGCCUGCCAGCUGGCCACCUAAAAUUCUAGCUGUUUCUAUAUGUACCAUUCUGAGUCUAACCACUAAAUAAAUCA